ACAUAUGUUGUAACUGUUAUUAAUUCUUUAAUUAUUUACUCUGUUGGGAUAAUGUUCACUGUCACCAGAGCAGCCAAUGCAGUAGUUCAAGAACAAACUCUCGCAAGACUCCACACCCCUCAGCAAGUUAAGAGUCAACCUUAGAAAUCUACCUUCUCAUUUCCUGCGUUCUUAGAUUUUCCUUGCGAGCUCACCUGUGCCCGCAUGAGCAACAGACCAUGAUGAAUUCGACGGUGGAUGUAACAAGAAACUAAGGGAUGUCCCCUGACCUGCUGUAAGGGAGAACUCUGGACAGGCUGAGUAGACUUCCAUGGAUGGAGUCACAUGGGGGCGGGGGGGUGCAGGGCAUCACAGACGUCCCAUUGUGACGCGGGUGGAGUCUUAGCUGGGAUUGGCCGGGUGGGCACAGGGUGGGAUAAAAAGCCGGGCUCAGAGCAGACCUUGCACUGAGAGUCCCUGGGGAGGGGUGUACCUCGUUUUCUGCUGGUCUCGUCCUCCCCACCGCCUCAGCACCCACUCAGGGCCCCUUUCCCAGUCUCCCAGGCUUCCAGUAUAGACUCAGGUCUCCCACUUCCCACAUCUACCUUUUCUAUCCUGAGGCAACUAAAAAGAAACAGAAAAGCAGAAAGACACCAAGCUGAGCCCCCAAAUCUGGAACCUUGUGGAUCAGUAACAAAGGGAAGCCCAUCGCCAGAAUGAUCAAUAUCGCGAGCUCAGUGAGCUUCACCAAAGUCAUGGGAAAUCCUAGGGUUUUAAAAUGUAAAACCUUGGAAGAAAACUCAGAAUCCUAAUGAGCACUUCAUCAGAGGUACUGCGGAAGAGAGCAAAAGUCGUGCUGGGCUCUCACUUCCCAUAUGGUAUUUUCUCCACCCAAGUGAUGAAUGAACCUGAGUCCACAAUCAUGGCUUAUUCAUGAGACAGCAGCCAGCACAAAGCCUUUCCCCUCCUGUGAGAUGAAUCAUUACCCAACCAGGCGUACUUAGGGAGCAGUACGUCCUUCGUACGGCCAUAUCCAUCCUCCUUGUGUUCCGCGGCUCCCCUCUGAUCAGUUCUCCAUCGUGCGGAUGAUCACACAUACUUUCCGUUCUCAGGUUGCUGGAAACCCGGACUAUUUCCAGUUAAAGGAUAUUGUGAAUAAAGCUGCCUUGGGUAUCCUGGUA